AUGGAGCAAUUGGAGAAGAGGAUGGAUGCUGCAGAACAACAAAUCAAAGAGCUGCGUGAAGAUCUUAAUCGGAGAUUUGACCAGCUGGUUGAGAUGAUAAGAAAGGGUGUCCCCACUGCUACCAAUGAAGGAGAUUCAUCUAAAGAAGAAGAAGAUGUUCAUCAAAGAAGGAGAGGUAAUCUUGGAGCAAGACCGCCACAACAACAUGCUGUUCAACGUGCUUCAAGAAGGCCAAUUUAUGUUGAAGCUUCUGAAGGGUGCCUAGAUUGGCUAUAUGAAGUGGAGACUUUCUUUGAGGUCAUGGAGGUUCCGGAAGAUCGUAGAGUUCCUUUGGUCGCAUACAAGCUGAAAGGAGGAGCCGGUGCAUGGUGGCAUCGCGUUCAAGAAGAGCGCAGGCUGAGAGGAGAACCUCAUAUUACACGGAGGAGUUUCUAA
rnacentral:rRNA from 1 species